UGUCACGUGGCCGAGUGGCGAGGCAGAGGCCGGCAAAGCCUUCAACGAUGGUUCGAGUCCAUCCGUGACUG
rnacentral:tRNA from 1 species